GCUCAGUAACACGUGGACAAUCUGCCCUCGGGUGGGGAAUAAACCCGCGAAAGUGGGGCUAAUACCCCAUAGGCACAGGAGGCUGGAAUGCAUCUGUGCCCAAAGCUCCGGCGCCCGAGGAUGAGUCUGCGGCCUAUCAGGUAGUAGUCAGGGUCAAGACCCGACUAGCCAGCGACGGGUACGGGCCUUGAGAGAGGUCGCCCGGAGAUGGACUCUGAGACACGAGUCCAGGCCCUACGGGGCGCAGCAGGCGCGAAAACUUCGCAAUGCAGGAAACUGUGACGAGGGAACUCCAAGUGUCCAUGCAUUGCAUGGGCUGUUUGCCAGCCUAAAAAGCUGGUAGAGUAAGGGGUGGGAAAGACCGGUGCCAGCCGCCGCGGUAACACCGGCACCUCAAGUGGUAGCCACUAUUAUUGGGCCUAAAGCGUUCGUAGCCGGCUUGGUUAAUUCCUGGGUAAAUCGUACCGCUCAACGGUGCGGAUUCCGGGGACACUGCCAGGCUUGAGACCGGGGGAGAUCAGAGGUACUUGCGGGGGAGCGGUGAAAUGUUGUAAUCCCGCAGGGACCACCAAUGGCGAAGGCAUCUGAUCAAAACGGCUCUGACGGUGAGGGACGAAACCCUGGGGCGCAAACGGGAUUAGAUACCCCGGUAGUCCAGGGCGUAAACGCUGCUGACUUGGUGUUGGGGGCCCUGCGAGGGUGUCCAGUGCCGGCACGAAGGUAUUGAGUCAGCCGCCUGGGGAGUACGGUCGCAAGACUGAAACUUAAAGGAAUUGGCGGGGGAGCACUGCAACGGGUGGAGCGUGCGGUUUAAUUGGAUUCAACGCCGGAAAACUCACCGGGGGCGACGAUUACAUGAAGGCCAGGUUGAUGACCUUGCCUGAUUUUUCGAGAGGUGGUGCAUGGCCGCCGUCAGUCCGUACCGUAAGGCGUUCUGUUAAGUCAGAUAACGAACGAGACCCUCAUUGCCAUUUGCUAGGCUCUUCUCAGGAAGGGUUGCACUAUGGCGAUACCGCCACUGCUGAAGUGGAGGAAGGAGGGGGCAACGGUAGGUCAGUAUGCCCCGAAUCUCCCGGGCUACACGCGCGCUACAAAGGGCAGGACAAUGGGCUUCGACGCCGAAAGGCGGAGGCAAUCCCGAAACCUGCUCGUACUUCGGAUUGAGGGCUGCAAUUCGCCCUCAUGAAGCUGGAAUCCGUAGUAAUCGCGGGUCAACAUCCCGCGGUGAAUAUGCCCCUGCUCCUUGCACACACC
rnacentral:rRNA from 1 species